CACGUGAUGUUUGCUAAAUAGUUACAUGCCUACCUACUGCCCCAACUUCACUUUGUUUGGAAAAGAAGAACCUCCCACCGCCUCUCAUCUCCUUCUCAAAUAUCUCAGAUCUACUCUCCUCUGAUUGGAAUUAAUAUCUUGUUCGUCAUAUCAAUGGGUUUAACAUCUUCUACCUUCAAGGUCUUGUGAAAGGGUUUUGACAAGCUUUCAAGUUCUGUUUGAUGUCUAGCUAAUGAAAUUUUUUGGAAGAGACUUUGGUAAGAUUUUGAUAUUUGAAGCAGGUCAGUUUCUAUUGUUCUCAAGAUGGAUCUAUUGUAUGUAUAUCGUGUUCAAAUGUUUUUUCCCAUGGAGGAGGAAGAGGUACUUCUCUUUGUUCCUCUCUCGCUAAUCUAUUUGCUAGUCUCGUGUAGUUGUAGUUGUAGUUGUAAGGAUGACUAUAAACCCUGUUUGUUUAUCUUUCCUUGUAAUUCUAUAUUAGAAAAUAUACCCUAUUUCUUUUUCUUAUUUUUGUUCUGAUUACUGAUUUUAGUCUCUUUGAUGAUAACUAACUACCAUUAAUUUUUGAUAUUAGAUUGAAAAUGAAAGGAUAUGUGGUUAUUCAAAGACACGAGGCACAAAUUUCACCAGUACUCGUCAACCCACUCUUUUUAAAAUCAGGCCAGUUCACUGUCUGAUACUACCUUUCUUGAAAAGUUAUCUCUUUCUCUAUUAACAAUAUAUGUCUAUCACAAUUCAAUUUUUCAGUCCUAUCUUUUCAGUUCUUAUUUUUCCAUUUGUUUUCCUAGUUUUGAUCUGGUUUUCACUCUUUCACUUUUUUAAAGUACACAUCCUGUUACUGAGACUUACAUUAUGAAUUGUCAGAUUUGUCACUUCUUUACGCUCUUGUUCUGUCCGCAUGUGAUCUUGAACUUACAUGUUUGGUGAUAUCAUGUUUUGUAUUCAUAUAUUAAUAUAUGAUGGUUAUUUUUUGCUUUUUACUUGUUGUUUCUGGGUUAGAACAUAAUCUCACAGCGGUGUAGUAUUUGGUUAUUAUAUUUGUUAUCAUAUUUUUCUGAAUAGGUUACACUCUGCUGAAGUUUGUUGGGACAAUUGAAAAUAAACUCAAGAAAUAAUCUAAUGAACAAACUAGAAAUGAUGAAGAUAUGUAUGCUUUGGAAUAUAAGGUAUGGUAUGUUCAAUAAUAAGGAUUUCGAUAUAUAGGUCAUAUCAUCUUGCAUAGUUAUUUAUUAACUUCUGUAGUUUUUCUGUAAUUUAUUAACACUUGCUAUUUCCCGCUGGAUAAAUGAGAAUGGCGAAACCAAAUUUAGUUAGUUAACCUUGCAGCUCCCUUGCUCUUAAAUUAAUCUACAUGUUCUACAUGCAAUUUGAGUAUUAUUUAGCCAAACCGGUAGAGUACCGUUGGUUGAAUUUUUUUCAGAAUAUCAGGGGUACGUAGUAGAAGAGUGUACCUUACUACCUUGUAUGAAAUGCUACUCUCAAGUCUUAGAUGACAGAAAUAUCACCUUGCCUAAUACAGAACACUGUAGUGGUGUGAAUAACAAAAGAAAUGUAGUAGGCUCCACAAUAGGUCCUUAUAAGUCGCAAUUUUUAAGAGCUACUUCCAACAAUUUAUGAAAACGAUAUCUGAUAGUUUCCUCGUGGUUUCGGGUUUCGUUAGUCCUUGAUAUGCCAUGGAGAUAUAUGCAGUUUGAUUAUGCUUAUGUAAGAUACUACAAUCAAUUUAAAUAUGCUUCUGUAGUUAUGCAUACAACUAUCAUGGAGUUUGUAUCAACCCUCAUCUUUUAUUAGAGUUGGCAUUCAUUGUUCCAUGGUCGUUUUGGUUGAUUUCCUAUGACAAAUGAUUUAAUUUCUGACUCAUCCUUAUUUUAUUUUGUUCUCUUCUUUGAAGACCGUCCAAUGUGAUACGGAGCAACAUGAGAUGAAGGCCAGGACACUUGAGCUUAUAAGCUACUACCACCAUUAGAUCCUAGUUCUUAUAGGCUUUAGUUCUUCGGUUAAGUAGAUACAAUUGUAUUUUUUUAUUAUGUUUUGGACUAUUUAGUUAUUAACAUUUAUGUAUUAUGGAAUUUGGUUAGAAACAUUAUCAUGGACUAUGGAUAUAUUAUGGUUAAUUAGUAGCAUUACCAUGUACUAUGGAUUUAAAGUACUACGUACUCCUAGAAUUUUAUAAUUUAUUGUUAAUGUUACAUUGAUCUUGUUGCUUUAAUUGUAUGAUGAAUAAAGUUCAUUUUAAAUAUUAA